UACGGGGGGGGCAAGCGUUGUUCGGAAUUACUGGGCGUAAAGGGCUCGUAGGUGGCCAACUAAGUCAAACGUGAAAUCCCUCGGCUUAACCGGGGAACUGCGUCUGAUACUGGAUGGCUUGAGUUUGGGAGAGGGAUGCGGAAUUCCAGGUGUAGCGGUGAAAUGCGUAGAGAUCGGGAGGAACAUCCGUGGCGAAGGCGGCCAUCUGGAUCAACACUGACGCUGAGGCACGAAAGCGUGGGGAGCAAACAGG
rnacentral:rRNA from 1 species